rnacentral:lncRNA from 1 species
GGAGCUACACAUUUGUGUGCAGAGACUCUCGCUUGCCCUGCAGAUGAGUCACAAAAAAAGUUCAUGACCGAGUCGUUGAUGAAGAGUCCAUCUAUGACCAGCCCCUGCAUUGUGCCGCCUCCUUAUGAACCCCAGGAUCUUGGAAACCUUUAUAGGAAUAACAUCAAUUUAAUCAAACAAGUAGAGAUGUGGGAGGACAAGUACUGGGAGAGUAUCCAUAAUAAGCAGCAGUAACAUCAACUUUUACAAUUACACUGAGCACAUAUAUAGAUAACUAUUGCUUAGCAAUGUCAAUUCAAUGUAAAGCACAUGAUCAAGUUAAUCCUUUCGUCAUCACCUAUGUAGUACUGGUCCGAGAACCCAUGUUACCUGCACACAUCUCAUUUUGCCUUACAUGCUUGUUACAGUUUGCCUUGCCAUUUCGGCUAGGCAUGGAUGAAAAUAUCUUUCCCCUUUGAUUGUAUUUACCUUUCAAUUACUCUGGAGUAAUAACUCUCAUAGUUUACAGAGUGCUGCAGUAAGACAAUUCUCCAAAGUCUGAGCCGUCAUGAAUAAAGAUGCUUUCUUUUUAUAUUCCUAAUAUAGAAGAUGAAAUAACAUUGUUUUCCGCAGCACAAUGUCUCAUCAGAAAUUCCUUCUUUGACUCAUUAUAAAGACUAGCCAGAGUCAUUGAGGCAUUCACCAGAAUCACAAAGCAAGCAAAUUUCAAGGCUUACCUGAGACCUUCUCGUUGAAAUUGACGGCGACGGCGGCCGCCGGGAUCGCCACAGGUCUGACUCUGGGAAAUUGAAUUUAUUUGACAAUAGUUCACAUAGAUCCUCUUUCUGGGAAUAGAUCAUGAUAUGUGCACUUGUAUCAGAAACUAAACUCUUCUGUUUCUGUUUUUAACUGUUAUUCAUUGGAGUUAUCUCAUGAAGAUUUUUAGUAUAAUUCAUUCUCUCAAGUUUAUUGUGACUUGUGUUUUGAACUCUCUUUUUUAUUUUCUUUUGUAUAAUUCGUUCUCAUGGAAACCAC